UGUUUUUACGUGGCUUCAUUCAGAAGAGAGCUGCCAUCCUCCAUGGUGGAUACUCGGAAAUUCAAUGAUAACCAGUUUUUAAAGAUAGGCCAGAAGAGGGCACCAGACCUCAUUACAGAUGGUUGUGAGUCACCAUGUGGUUGCCGGGAAUUGAACUCAGGACCUUUGGAAGAGCAGGCAAUGUUCUUAACCACUGAGCCAUCUCUCCAGC